rnacentral:rRNA from 1 species
UACGGGGGGGGCAAGCGUUGUUCGGAAUUACUGGGCGUAAAGGGCUCGUAGGCGGCCAACUAAGUCCGACGUGAAAUCCCCAGGCUUAACCUGGGAACUGCGUCGGAUACUGGAUGGCUUGAAUUCGGGAGAGGGAUGCAGAAUUCCAGGUGUAGCAGUGAAAUGCGUAGAUAUCUGGAGGAACACCGAUGGCGAAGGCAGCCCCCCUGGGCUAACACUGACGCUCAUGCACGAAAGCGUGGGGAGCAAACAGG